ACGAACGCUGGCGGCGUGCUUAACACAUGCAAGUCGCACGGAAAGGCCCUGCUUUUGUGGGGUGCUCGAGUGGCGAACGGGUGAGUAACACGUGAGUAACCUGCCCUUGACUUUGGGAUAACUUCAGGAAACCGGGGCUAAUACCGGAUAGGAGCUCCUGCUGCAUGGUGGGGGUUGGAAAGUUUCGGCGGUUGGGGAUGGACUCGCGGCUUAUCAGCUUGUUGGUGGGGUAGUGGCUUACCAAGGCUUUGACGGGUAGCCGGCCUGAGAGGGUGACCGGCCACAUUGGGACUGAGAUACAGCCCAGACUCCAACGGAAGGCAGCAGUGGGGAAUAUUGCACAAUGGGCGGAAGCCUGAUGCAGCAACGCCGCGUGCGGGAUGACGGCCUUCGGGUUGUAAACCGCUUUCGCCUGUGACGAAGCGUGAGUGACGGUAAUGUGUAAAAAAGCACCGGCUAACUACGUG
rnacentral:rRNA from 1 species